CCCUUAGACGUUCUGGGCCGCACGCGCGCUACACUGACGGAGCCAGCGAGUAUAAACCUUGGCCGAGAGGUCUGGGAAAUCUUGUGAAACUCCGUCGUGCUGGGGAUAGAGCAUUGUAAUUAUUGCUCUUCAACGAGGAAUUCCUAGUAAGCGCAAGUCAUCAGCUUGCGUUGAUUACGCCCCUGCCCUUUGUACACACCGCCCGUCGCUACUACCGAUUGAAUGGCUUAGUGAGGCUUCCGGAUUGGUUUAGAGAAGGGGGCAACUCCAUCUUGGAACCGAGAAGCUAGUCAAACUUGGUCAUUUAGAGGAAGUAAAAGUCGUAACA
rnacentral:rRNA from 1 species